rnacentral:rRNA from 1 species
AUGGAUAAACACAUGCUAAUCCAGCUAUGGAUGGCAAAUGACUUUAUUGCAUCAGAAACAAGAGGCCAACAAAUUUUUGAUGUGCUUGUUUGGAGGUGUUUCCUCCAAGAUGUGGAGAUUCAAAAGAAAAGCCUCUUCGAACUUGCAGAUGAGCACAUCCACCGACCAACUACCUGCAGGAUGCAUGAUCUCAUGCAUGACCUUGCUGAAUUUGUAAGCGGAGAAGAUUGCACCAUUAUGAAUAGAUCCACAAAAGCCAGUUCAUUACGUCACAAGGUUCGAUACUUGUCAGUUGAUAAUCUUUAUUUCUAUAUUUGGAGUGACCUGGAGGUAAUUCUAGCUCCCUGGCCCCGGACAAUAUUACUCGAAAGGAUGUGGUGUGACACUCGUUGGAGUAUAGCCAAGUCAACAUGCAUGUCCUUGAGAGCAUUGAAGACACUCUCUAACUAUACACAAAUGACAAACUUGAAGCAUCUACGAUAUCUAGGUAAUAAUGAUACAGAGAAUGUGCAGUCAUGUAUUUCUCCACCACCCUUCUUUCCUAAGCUGGAAACCAUGGAAGUUGUCAACAUGCCUAACCUAGAGAGAUGGCACCAGGAGGUGGCAGGACAAGUAGCGGUUGAAUCAUUUCCUCAGCUCAAGGAGUUAGAAAUUGGUGACUGCCCAGUGCUCCCAACCCUCGAG